rnacentral:tRNA from 1 species
AGCCCCGAGGUGUUUGCUGUGAUUGAUUGCAAAUCUUAAGUUGAGGGUUUGUCACCCUCCGGGGCUU